CAGUUACGCUAUUAACUAAAUAAAUCCCAAUAAAAUUUCAUCAAAUACCCCUAAAUAAAUUCCGUGUGCGACGCCGUCGAUCGACUUAAGAACGAUAUCUCUCUGCUCACGCGCGAAAACCUGGGCGGUCGAUUUUGUCGAUCCGGCCAUCGGGACUUCAGUUUUGGUCAAGACUCAGGGCGAACACGCUGUGUUUUUUUUCUUAAGUGGCGGAUUUGGACGAGAUUUGGAAUAAAAAUGGAGCAGAUAUAUCACUAAAAUCAAGGAACAUUAAGACCAUUUUUUUUUUGGAAUAGCGAUAAUAUCAAAACUCAAUUUAUCUUUGGUUUUUUUUACAUAAAAGAAGUUUAAGGCCAGCGUGUUUCGUCUGUCCAAAUUCCGCCACUUAGACACUUAGUGACUUAGUCACUUAGUUACGUCGUAACUUAGUCACUUUGCAUUCCUUUGCAUAAUUUAUGUCACUUGAAGUAUGUACCAGUAACUGUUAGCAACUUUGCCAUGGUUUACCCAUAGAGCUCGCUGUUUCGUUGGAGAAAACCAGUACCUGACUUCACAACAUUUAGGAUUUUUCAGUAGGACUUGCCCACCACAGCAUCCAACCAGUUUAUCGUGCCAAAAGGACUCUCCUAUGGACUUCAUCUUGAAUUCUUAAA